rnacentral:rRNA from 1 species
CCCGGCGACCGGCGCACGGGUGAGUAGCACGUAUGCAACCUGGCCGCCACAGGGGGAUAACCCGCGGAAACGCGGCCUAAUACCCCGUGACGCCACCGGAGGGCAUCCUCCGGUGGCCAAAGGAGCGAUCCGGUGGCGGAUGGGCAUGCGGCGCAUUAGCUAGACGGCGGGGUGACGGCCCACCGUGGCGACGAUGCGUAGGGGUUCUGAGAGGAAGGCCCCCCACACUGGGACUGAGACACGGCCCAGACUCCUACGGAAGGCAGCAG